AGGUUAAGCUGUGAUGCAGAUGGAUGUCGGCAGAGCGAAGCUUUGAUAUAUAAGUACUAAAUUAGGCUCAGGAUUUCAUGUCUUCAUACAUGUAAUCCACUUAAGUUACUCCGCUGCAACGCUUAGUGCGUUUUACUUUAUUGAUGUGUUGCAAAGAUUUCAAACUAAUAGCUUACAGAAUUAUGUCACUUGAUACUUAGACAACUUGUCGUUAUGUUAUUGUGAGUUGUCUGCUUUUGAGUUUAGAAAAGAUUGUUUAUGA
rnacentral:lncRNA from 1 species